rnacentral:rRNA from 1 species
UACGAAGGGGGCUAGCGUUGCUCGGAAUCACUGGGCGUAAAGGGUGCGUAGGCGGGUCUUUAAGUCAGGGGUGAAAUCCUGGAGCUCAACUCCAGAACUGCCUUUGAUACUGGACGAUCUUGAGUUCGGGAGAGGUGAGUGGAACUGCGAGUGUAGAGGUGAAAAUUCGUAGAUAUUCGCAAGAACACCAGUGGCGAAGGCGGCUCACUGGCCCGUACUGACGCUGAGGUGCGAAAGCGUGGGGAGCAACAGGGAUUAA